rnacentral:rRNA from 1 species
GCAGAGCAUCCUACGGGAGGCAGCAGUGGGGAAUAUUGCACAAUGGGCGCAAGCCUGAUGCAGCCAUGCCGCGUGUAUGAAGAAGGCCUUCGGGUUGUAAAGUACUUUCAGCAGUGAGGAAGGUGGAUAUGUUAAUAGCAUAUUCAUUUGACGUUAGCUGCAGAAGAAGCACCGGCUAACUCCGUGCCAGCAGCCGCGGUAAUACGGAGGGUGCGAGCGUUAAUCGGAAUUACUGGGCGUAAAGCGCAUGCAGGUGGUUUGUUAAGUCAGAUGUGAAAGCCCGGGGCUCAACCUCGGAAUUGCAUUUGAAACUGGCAAACUAGAGUACUGUAGAGGGGGUAGAAUUUCAGGUGUAGCGGUGAAAUGCGUAGAGAUCUGAAGGAAUACCGGUGGCGAAGGCGGCCCCCUGGACAGAUACUGACACUCAGAUGCGAAAGCGUGGGGAGCAAACAGGAUUAGAUACCCUGGCAG